CCCUUAGAUGUUCUGGGCCGCACGCGCGCUACACUGACAAAUGCAACGAGCUUAUAACCUUGGCCGAAAGGUCUGGGUAAUCUCCAAAUUUCGUCGUGAUGGGGAUAGAUUAUUGCAAUUAUUAAUCUUCAACGAGGAAUGCCUAGUAAGCGCAAGUCAUCAGCUUGCGUUGAUUACGUCCCUGCCCUUUGUACACACCGCCCGUCGCUCCUACCGAUUGAAUGGUCCGGUGAAGCGUUCGGACCGUGGCCUUUGGACGGUUCGCCGUCUGUUGGCUGCGGGAAGUUCGUUAAACCUUAUCAUUUAGAGGAAGGAGAAGUCGUAACA
rnacentral:rRNA from 1 species